GUUGAACGCUGGCGGUGUGCCUAAUACAUGCCAGUCGAGCGAACAGACGAGGAGCUUGCUCCUCUGACGUUAGCGGCGGACGGGUGAGUAACACGUGGAUAACCUACCUAUAAGACUGGGAUAACUUCGGGAAACCGGAGCUAAUACCGGAUAAUAUAUUGAACCGCAUGGUUCAAUAGUGAAAGACGGUUUUGCUGUCACUUAUAGAUGGAUCCGCGCCGCAUUAGCUAGUUAGUAAGGUAACGGCUUACCAAGGCAACGAUGCGUAGCCGACCUGAGAGGGUGAUCGGCCACACUGGAACUGAGACACGGUCCAGACUCCUACGGGAGGCAGCAGUAGGGAAUCUUCCGCAAUGGGCGAAAGCCUGACGGAGCAACGCCGCGUGAGUGAUGAAGGUCUUCGGAUCGUAAAACUCUGUUAUUAGGGAAGAACAAAUGUGUAAGUAACUAUGCACGUAUUGACGGUACCUAAUCAGAAAGCCACGGCUAACUACGUG
rnacentral:rRNA from 1 species